GAGUAUUUUGAGAGUGUCCAUGAAGCUUUCAAUAUGGUAUUGUUUGACAUAAACAUUGUGUGAAUAUUCUGAAGUGUUUGUGCUUGAUAGUCCUUAGAUCUUCGUGUUGUGUUUCAAAUUAUGGGACUGUGUGAUGGAUGCACUACUUGAACUCAUCAUCUCUUUGGUACAUGAAUUUUUUGCAUCACCAUGGAUAUUUGUAAUUAAUUCUAGAGCAAUAUGUAGAUUUCUUUUUUUAAGUUUGCUUUCUAUGUAUUUUUCUGCAGGCUGCUUCCAAUGGAAAAUAUAUAUUGGUGUUUGGAAAUGCUGGUGAUGAAUUUUAUGCCACUUUAUUUUGACUUACUGAAACACGAGAAUGAACUUGACAAGAAGAAUAAUGUUCUGUCUCGGGUAUAUUCUGCAAAAAGAAUUCAAGUAACUAUUUGUGGUAGAUACUAAUCAUCAUGGUUUGGGUUUGUUUUCAUCAUCAUC
rnacentral:lncRNA from 1 species